GAUGGAGGUGUGUAGUGAUGGAGGUGUGUGGUGACAGACAGAGGUGUGUGGUGACGGAGGUUUGUGGUGAUGGAGGUGGGUGGUGAUGGAAGUGUGUGGUGACGGAGGUGUGUAGUGAUGGAGGUGUGUGGUGACGGACAUAGGUGUGUGGUGACGGAGGUGUGUGGUGAUGAAGUUGUGUGGUGAUGGAGGUGUGGGGUGACAGACAGAGGUGUGUGGUGACGGAGGUUUGUGGUGAUGGAGGUGUGUGGUGACAGAGGUGUUUGGUGACGGACAGAGGUGUGUGGUGACGGACAGAGGUGUGUGGUGAUGGAGGUGUGUAGUGAUGGAGGUCUGUAGUGAUGGAGGUGUGUAGUGAAGGAGGUGUGUGGUGACAGAGGUGUGUGGUGAUGGAGGUGUGUGGUGAUGGACAGAGGUGCGUCGUGACGGAGGUUUGUGGUGAUGGAGGUGUGUGGUGACAGACAGAGGUUUGUGGUGAUGGAGGUGUGUGGUGAAAGACAGAGGUGUGUAGUGAUGGAGGUGUGUAGUGAAGGAGGUGUGUGGUGACAGAGGUUUGUGGUGAUGGAGGUGUGUGGUGACGGAGGUGUGUGGUGAUGGAGGUGUGUGGUGAUGGAAGUGUGUGGUGACGGAAGUGUGUGGUGAUGGAGGUGUGUGGUGACGGACAGAGGUGUGUGGUGAUGGAGGUGUGUAGUGAUGGAGGUGUGUAGUGAAGGAGGUGUGUGGUGACAGAGGUUUGUGGUGAUGGAGGUGUGUGGUGACAGAGGUUUGUGGUGAUGGAGGUGUGUGGUGAUGGAGAUGUGUGGUGACGGACAGAGGUGU